GCUUUGGUGGUUCAGUGGUAGAAUUCUCACCUUCCAUGCAGGAGACCCAGGUUCAAUUCCCAGCCGAUGUA
rnacentral:tRNA from 1 species